UACGGAGGGGGCUAGCGUUGUUCGGAAUUACUGGGCGUAAAGCGCGCGUAGGCGGACCUGCAAGUCGGGGGUGAAAGCCCGAGGCUCAACCUCGGAACUGCCUUCGAUACUGCGGGUCUCGAGUCCGGGAGAGGUGAGUGGAAUUCCUAGUGUAGAGGUGAAAUUCGUAGAUGUUAGGAAGAACACCAGUGGCGAAGGCGGCUCACUGGCCCGGUACUGACGCUGAGGCGCGAAAGCGUGGGGAGCAAACAGG
rnacentral:rRNA from 1 species